ACGUGAAUACAUAGCGUAAUGAAGCGAACCGGGGGAACUGAAACAUCUAAGUACCCCGAGGAAAAGAAAUCAACCGAGAUUCCCCCAGUAGCGGCGAGCGAACGGGGAGCAGCCCAGAGUCUGAAUCAGCUUGUGUGUUAGUGGAACGGUCUGGAAAGUCCGACGGUACAGGGUGAUAGUCCCGUACACCAAAAUGCACAGGUUGUGAACUCGAAGAGUAGGGCGGGACACGUGGUAUCCUGUCUGAAUAUGGGGGGACCAUCCUCCAAGGCUAAAUACUCCUGACUGACCGAUAGUGAACCAGUACCGUGAGGGAAAGGCGAAAAGAACCCCGGCGAGGGGAGUGAAAAAGAACCUGAAACCGUGUACGUACAAGCAGUGGGAGCCUCUUUAUGGGGUGACUGCGUACCUUUUGUAUAAUGGGUCAGCGACUUAUAUUCUGUAGCAAGGUUAACCGUAUAGGGGAGCCGAAGGGAAACCGAGUCUUAACUGGGCGUUAAGUUGCAGGGUAUAGACCCGAAACCCGGUGAUCUAGCCAUGGGCAGGUUGAAGGUUGGGUAACACUAACUGGAGGACCGAACCGACUAAUGUUGAAAAAUUAGCGGAUGACUUGUGGCUGGGGGUGAAAGGCCAAUCAAACCGGGAGAUAGCUGGUUCUCCCCGAAAGCUAUUUAGGUAGCGCCUCGUGAAUUCAUCUUCGGGGGUAGAGCACUGUUUCGGCUAGGGGGUCAUCCCGACUUACCAACCCGAUGCAAACUGCGAAUACCGAAGAAUGUUAUCACGGGAGACACACGGCGGGUGCUAACGUCCGUCGUGAAGAGGGAAACAACCCAGACCGCCAGCUAAGGUCCCAAAGUCAUGGUUAAGUGGGAAACGAUGUGGGAAGGCACAGACAGCCAGGAUGUUGGCUUAGAAGCAGCCAUCAUUUAAAGAAAGCGUAAUAGCUCACUGGUCGAGUCGGCCUGCGCGGAAGAUGUAACGGGGCUAAACCAUGCACCGAAGCUGCGGCAGCGACACUAUGUGUUGUUGGGUAGGGGAGCGUU
rnacentral:rRNA from 1 species